rnacentral:rRNA from 1 species
UACGUAGGGAGCAAGCGUUGUCCGGAUUUAUUGGGCGUAAAGAGCUCGUAGGCGGCUUAGAAAGUCAGGUGUGAAACCUCCAGGCUCAACCUGGAGACGCCACUUGAUACUUCUAUGGCUUGAGUUCGGUAGGGGACCACGGAAUUCCUGGUGUAGCGGUGAAAUGCGCAGAUAUCUGGAGGAACACCAAUGGCGAAGGCAACUUCCUGGGGCAAUACUGACACUGAUGUGCGAAAGCGUGGGGAGCAAACAGG